rnacentral:tRNA from 2 species
GGGCCAUUAGCUCAGUUGGCAGAGCACCUGACUUUUAAUCAGGGUGUCCGGAGUUCGAGUCUCCGAUGGCCCACCA